AGGCUUGGAAGGAAGCAGCAGCAGCGGUAUCU
rnacentral:SRP_RNA from 1 species